GCAGUUGGUAGCUCAAUGGUAGAGUGCAUGUUUGUGUGUAUGACGUUCUGUGUUCAAAUCCCAGCUGCUCCC